GCAAUUAAUUCAAAGAAAUGGAUUAAAGUUUUGCCCUCAUGAAUUUGGACAUGACCCCAGAUACUGUUUGUGUACUUUACUGGGAUUCCUUGGUACAGCUUUAUAAUUCUGGAAUGACUCUUACUGCUUCUGUCUUUGGAGCAUGGCUGUGCAUAUGAAGCUACUGAGAAGAGUGGCCAAAGCAAUUUGGAAGGAAUGACUCUUCACAAGAUUUAGUUCCGUCUCAUACUUCCAGGGCUGGUAAAAGGAAAUCUCUCAUUUCUAAAAGAGAAUUUCAGCUGUUCUGAAGCCUGCAGAUGCUGAAUAAGUACCUACAAGCAAAAAAAAAAAAAUCUUGACCUCUAUCUUCCUAUCUCAUUCUUCUUCAAGAUUGAGGACACCAAGAUAAGAGUAACUAAAAUAAUUCUCAGGGGCAUCAGCUUGAACAACAUCCAGUUUCAGAUCCUCUCCCUGCAGCAACACCCAGAGGUUUCCAGCAUUGUCCUAAACCUCGCAGACCACUCCGUGAUGAGAUCAACUUCUGAAGCAAGAACAGUCAUCUUAUGGGAACCAAAUUGCCCCUCAAACCAUGAUGAUUCCUCUUGAACUAGAAAGCAGGACCUCAGCCCACCACAUCACCCUCUUCAAAAGGUGAUAUAUUGUGCUUUCAUCAUCAAUCAUCAUCAUCAUCAUCAUCAUCCUGAGAAAGUCUAAAACAUAAUUACAGAACUUUAAGAUAAAAAAAUUCAUUCUCCAAGAGAGAAGAGAGACUUGUCCAAGGUCAUUCAGCAAAUGAGUGAGGACUCAGAUCCACCCAACAUUCUUCCCUAAAUCAAAGCUAUGAAAGAUCAUUAGGGAAGAUCUUGCCUAAUCUUCCAAUUCUACUGCACGGAAACAGGAAGUAUGAUUCCAAAGAAUGGGCCUAUGAGUGCACUUCCAAACCACAGCUAAUUUUCCCUAAGAGUCUUCCGGAUGGUGGGUUUUUUGAGUACUUUCCAGAAAAAAAAAGUCAAUUAAUAUCUUACUGUUACUUGUACAUAGAAUUGUAUAUAACUGUUCAAUAAAUUGCAAAACAGAGCCUCUGGCUUCAC
ensembl:lncRNA